rnacentral:rRNA from 1 species
GACGAACGCUGGCGGCGUGCUUAACACAUGCAAGCCGAACGGAAAGGCCCUGCUUUUGUGGGGUGCUCGAGUGGCGAACGGGUGAGUAACACGUGUGUAACCUGCCCUUGACUUUGGUAUAACUUCAGGAAACUGGGGCUAAUACCGGAUAGGAGCUCCUGCUGCAUGGUGGGGGUUGGAAAGUUUCGGCGGUUGGGGAUGGACUCGCGGCUUAUCAGCUUGUUGGUGGGGUAGUGGCUUACCAAGGCGUUGACGGGUAGCCGGCCUGAGAGGGUGACCGGGCACAUUGGGACUGAGAUACGGGCCAGACUACUACGGGAGGAAGCAGUGGGGAAUAGUGGACAAUGGGCGGAAGCCUGAUGCAGCACCGCAGCGUGCGGGAUGACGGCCUUCUGGUUGUAAACAGCUGUCGCCUGAGACGAAGCGUGAGUGACGGUAAUGGGUAAAGAAGCACCGGCUAACUACGUG